AUGGCCGAGUUGGUCUAAGGCGUUGCGUUAAGGCCGCAAUCUCUUCGGAGGCGUGGGUUCGAAUCCCACUCUGUUCA
rnacentral:tRNA from 1 species